CUGAGUUGCAAAACUCCCAACCAUUGUGGAACGUACCUAUCGUUGCUUCGGCGGGGGAGGCCCUCAGCGGCCUCGCGCCCACCCCCUCGGGGGAGGCAGCCCGCCGGAGGCGUCCAAACUAUAAGCAUACAUUUGGCCUCGUCUGAGUAGCCUAUAAAAUAAGUCA
rnacentral:misc_RNA from 1 species